rnacentral:rRNA from 1 species
AUUGAACGCUGGCGGCAUGCCUAACACAUGCAAGUCGAACGGCAGCACGGUCGUAGCAAUACGAUGGGUGGCGAGUGGCGGACGGGUGAGGAAUACAUAGGAAUCUGCCCUGUUGUGGGGGAUAACGUAGGGAAACUUACGCUAAUACCGCAUACGACGGCGACGUGAAAGUGGGGGACCGCAAGGCCUCACGCGAUAGGAUGAGCCUAUGUCGGAUUAGCUAGUUGGCGGGGUAAGGGCCCACCAAGGCGACGAUCCGUAGCUGGUCUGAGAGGAUGAUCUGCCACACUGGAACUGAGACACGGUCCAGACUCCUACGGGAGGCAGCAGUGGGGAAUAUUGGACAAUGGGGGCAACCCUGAUCCAGCAAUGCCGCGUGGGUGAAGAAGGCCUUCGGGUUGUAAAGCCCUUUUGUACGGGAAGAAAAGCUUCGGAUUAAUACUUCGAGGUCAUGACGGUACCGUAAGAAUAAGCACCGGCUAACUACGUGCCAGCCGCCGCCGUAA